ACCAGGCACAGUGGUGCGUGCUGGUCCCAACUACCUGGGAAGCUGAGGUGGAGGAUGGCUUUAGUCCGGAGUUCUGGGCUGUACUGUGCUAUGCCAUUUAGGGGUCCACACUAAGAUUGGCAUCAAUAUGAUGACCUUUCAGGAAGGGGCCAACAGGUUUAGUAAUGAGGGGUAAACUGGCCUGGGUUGGAAACAGAACAGGUCAAAACUCCUGUACUGAUCAGUAGUGGGAUCAUGCCUGCGAAUAGCCACUGCACUCCAUUCUGGGCAACAUAGCAAGACCCUGUCUUUU
ensembl:misc_RNA Metazoa_SRP Metazoan signal recognition particle RNA